UACGAAGGGUGCAAGCGUUAAUCGGAAUUACUGGGCGUAAAGGGUGCGUAGGCGGUUCGUUAAGUCUGUUGUGAAAUCCCCGGGCUCAACCUGGGAAUGGCAAUGGAUACUGGCGGGCUAGAGUGUGUCAGAGGAUGGUGGAAUUCCCGGUGUAGCGGUGAAAUGCGUAGAGAUCGGGAGGAACAUCAGUGGCGAAGGCGGCCAUCUGGGACAACACUGACGCUGAAGCACGAAAGCGUGGGGAGCAAACAGG
rnacentral:rRNA from 1 species